AUUGAACGCUGGCGGAAUGCUUUACACAUGCAAGUCGAACGGCAGCACGGACUUCGGUCUGGUGGCGAGUGGCGAACGGGUGAGUAAUGUAUCGGAACGUGCCCAGUCGUGGGGGAUAACGUAGUGAAAAUUACGCUAAUACCGCAUACGAUCUAUGGAUGAAAGCGGGGGAUCGCAAGACCUCGCGCGAUUGGAGCGGCCGAUAUCAGAUUAGGUAAUUGGUGGGGUAAAGGCCCACCAAGCCAACGAUCUGUAGCUGGUCUGAGAGGACGACCAGCCACACUGGAACUGAGACACGGUCCAGACUCCUACGGGAGGCAGCAGUGGGGAAUUUUGGACAAUGGGCGAAAGCCUGAUCCAGCCAUUCCGCGUGCAGGAUGAAGGCCUUCGGGUUGUAAACUGCUUUUGUACAGAACGAAAAGGUUUCUACUAAUACUAGGAGCUCAUGACGGUACUGUAAGAAUAAGCACCGGCUAACUACGUGCCAGCCGCCGCAGUAA
rnacentral:rRNA from 1 species